UACGAAGGGGGUUAGCGUUGCUCGGAAUCACUGGGCGUAAAGCGCACGUAGGCGGAUUGCUAAGUCAGGGGUGAAAUCCUGGAGCUCAACUCCAGAACUGCCCUUGAUACUGGCGACCUUGAGUCCGGGAGAGGUGAGUGGAACUGCGAGUGUAGAGGUGAAAUUCGUAGAUAUUCGCAAGAACACCAGUGGCGAGGGCGGCUCACUGGCCCGGUACUGUCGCUGAGGUGCUAAAGCGUGGGGAGCAAACAGG
rnacentral:rRNA from 1 species